rnacentral:rRNA from 1 species
GAUGAACGCUAGCUACAGGCUUAACACAUGCAAGUCGAGGGGAAACGCCAUCGAAAGCUUGCUUUUGAUGGGCGUCGACCGGCGCACGGGUGAGUAACGCGUAUCCAACCUGCCCAUCACUUGGGAAUAACCUUGCGAAAGUAAGACUAAUACCCAAUGACAUCCCACGAAGACAUCUGAAUGGGAUUAAAGAUUUAUCGGUGAUGGAUGGGGAUGCGUCUGAUUAGCUUGUUGGCGGGGUAACGGCCCACCAAGGCAACGAUCAGUAGGGGUUCUGAGAGGAAGGUCCCCCACAUUGGAACUGAGACACGGUCCAAACUCCUACGGGAGGCAGCAGUGAGGAAUAGUGAUCAAUGGGCGAGAGCCUGAACCAGCCAAGUAGCGUGCAGGAUGACGGCCCUAUGGGUUGUAAACUGCUUUUAUAAGGGAAUAAAGUGGGUCUCGUGAGACUUUUUGCAUGUACCUUAUGAAUAAGGACCGGCUAAUUCCGUG